rnacentral:misc_RNA from 1 species
AAGUCGUAACAAGGUUUCCGUAGGUGAACCUGCGGAAGGAUCAUUAUUAAAUGUUGCUCUGCAACUUUAUAAUCCCUUAACACCUGUGCAUUUUGUCGCUCCGGCGAUAUUUAUACAAACAUCAGUGUAAAGAAUGUAAUUUAUUAUAACAAAUACAACUUUCAACAACGGAUCUCUUGGCUCUC